rnacentral:rRNA from 1 species
AUGGACAAUUACAAACAUAUCUCAAAAUCGAAGAUGCCACUAAAAGUUAAGAUUUUCACCUGGUAUCUUUGAAGAGGAGUUAUGCUAACUAAAGACAAUAUCACUUGACGCAACUGGAAAGGAGGCAAGAAGUGUCGUUUUUGUAUUCAUGACGAGAGAAUUAAAGACCUCUUCUUUCAAUGCACGUUUGCGCGUUCUACAUGA